CCCUAGAAACUCAAAACACAAUCUCUCUCUCUUCCUCGGCCGCACACCUAAUUCUCUCCUCUCUCCUUUCCACUUCUCUCUAUCGGAGACCACCAUUUCCGGCCACCAAUUCAAAACACGCCACCGCCAAUCGAUUCUGGACCCGAUUCCGAUCAAAACCCAAGAAGAUCACUGCCAUCCACCGCCGCCAGCCUCAUCAAUCGACCAUCAAAGUCACGACGGCGCUGCUCCCUAGCUCUCAUCAAGUUUCGGCCAUUUCCUCAACACACCCCCGCCAUCAGCGUGCUCAGAGGGAGCCGGACAUGAAAAUCCAGAAGCCUCGCCGCCGGCCGUACCUCGAAGGACCCCCCACGUUCCAUCACCGGAAUCCUAGACCCUGGGUUUCUCCGGUCUUCCUUCUCCAAAUCGAAUCGAGCUCCAAUACCUCCAAGAAUGGAGUCAGUGCCUCUCCUUUUAUCCAAACCAAGGGCCCGACUUCUGAUUUCAACCAGAGCCGCCGUGAACGCCGCCGGAUUAUCCUCUUCGUUCUGGUAACCCAUUCUCCCAAGCCUCUCAUUAGUUGAUAGGUUGAGUUUCAAUUUCACUCUAAUGGAGUUAUUAAUGCUCAGUUCUUUUGAUUGUUGUUCUUGAAUUUCGUACUUGGAGGAAACAGGGGAAAUUGAAAUGUAAAGGGGAGCUUCUAGUCUUGAUUUCGAUUGAUUUUUAAAGGGAUGAUGAGGAAUUAAGGAGGGCUGCUGGAGGCAGCAGGUCAUUGAGACUAUUGUCUCGGCAGAUAUGAUAGAGGUUUCUGUGUUGGAAGUGUAGUAGCUACAUCUGUCUUUCUCCGCCUUGAAGGGCAAGCAUUAUUCCUGCAACUAUGUUGAUCAUUCUGGCUGGAAGGUUCAAAGACAAGAGGGUUGGCCUUUUGAAGUGCAUAAAUUGCAGUAAAGGAACAAGGGCAAUAAGGUCUGUGAGCCAAAUUCAGAUGCGAGAGAAGCGGGGGUUUUGAAAUUGAAGCUGAGGUUGCAGAGGACAAGGGGUUAAGGCACAACAUAGAUGACACUUGGGUUCUGCUCCUGGAUGCGAGCUUGGAUUUUCAAAGAAAAUUGAGGUUCCUAAUGCUUUGGUUUUGUUUAUUAUGCAUGGUGUUCGGGUCUGAUGUAGUAUUGUAAAUGAAGUAUUGUUGGAAGGUGUUUUGUAAAGUAACAGAAUUUGAACGUUGACUAGCAUUAUAGUAUGCUAAGAAGCAUUUGCAUACAGAUCUGCUUUCAGUUGGAUUACCACUUGAGGUCGUUUGUUUACAGUUUACGUGGUUUGAUUUCAUGUCUAUGUUAGGCACUUAAUAGCUUAUAUUAAAAUAAUCAUGAUUUGAUGACAAUUAAUAGGUAAUAAGAUUAGAUCUGAGUAUUAAGUCUCAUGUAGGAAUCAUGAGGUUACUGCAUUAACAAUUUGCAUCCCUACAAUCUGUUGGAGACUAAUUGGAUUAUGUGGUGUUGCAGUUGAAUGUAAAAGCAGCCAAGGAAGCCACUCUGGAUGGUGCAAAUUUAUUGUGCAAUUUUGCCACUUAUUUUGCAAGAUAUAUUUUUUUGUAUUGCAUACUUCAUCCAUUUUGGAUUGCUGCUUGGUAGCUGAUAUGUAUUUGAACUUCCCUAUUUUAGAUUCUGGGAAACUGAUGAGGCUAUUCAUAUGCACACGUGGUAAUUUGAUGUAU